GUCCUUACCUGGCAGUGGAGGCACCAUGAUCAAGAGGGUGCUUUUCCCAGGUCAAGGCUUCUCUGUUGCUCUGGGGAUGUGCUGACUCCUAAUAUAUUCCUAAAUGUAGGAAACUUGACUGCACACUUCAUGGUAGCAUGGGACGGUGCUCAUACUCUCCCUUU